GACGAACGCUGGCGGCGUGCCUAACACAUGCAAGUCGAACGGAGUUAAGACUUCGGUUUUAACUUAGUGGCGAACGGGUGAGUAACGCGUGAGAAACCUGCCUUUCAGUGGGGGACAACAGUUGGAAACGACUGCUAAUACCGCAUAAUGUUAUUUGGGGGCAUCCCUGAAUAACCAAAGCUUUAUGUGCUGAAAGAUGGUCUCGCGUCUGAUUAGCUAGAUGGCGGGGUAACGGCCCACCAUGGCGACGAUCAGUAGCCGGUCUGAGAGGAUGAACGGCCACAUUGGGACUGAGAUACGGCCCAGACUCCUACGGGAGGCAGCAGUGGGGAAUAUUGGGCAAUGGGGGAAACCUGACCCAGCAACGCCGCGUGAA
rnacentral:rRNA from 1 species